rnacentral:lncRNA from 1 species
ACAAAGCAAAUAUUUAAACUAAGAGUCAGAUAUAAGCUUAAAGUGCUACUGACUGGUGCAAUUACAAACAAAGAACUUAGGUCCAUUAUAUAGCUUUGAUUUCCUCCUUGCUUCACAAUUCUAAGCGAUGUGGGACUUUCAAUAGCUAUUUUUUAACCUCCUUCUUUAUUUAAGAAACUAGGCGAUGUGAGACUUGACAAUCAACCCCAACA